GCAGCCGCCGCGGUAAGACGAAGGGGGCUAGCGUUGUUCGGAAUUACUGGGCGUAAAGCGAGUGUAGGUGGUUAUCCAAGUUGGAUGUGAAAGCCUUGAGCUCAACUCAAGAAAUGCAUUCAGGACUGGAUGACUAGAGGACCGGAGAGGAUAGUGGAAUUCCCAGUGUAGUGGUGAAAUACGUAGAGAUUGGGAAGAACACCAGUGGCGAAGGCGGCUAUCUGGACGGUUUCUGACACUAAGACUCGAAAGCGUGGGGAGCAAACAGGAUUAGAUACCCCCGUAGUCCCUGUCUCUUAUAC
rnacentral:rRNA from 1 species